rnacentral:rRNA from 1 species
ACUAGAGUAGCACUCGCAUAUCAAUAAGCGGAGGAAAAGAAACUAACAAGGAUUCCCCUAGUAACGGCGAGUGAAGCGGGAAGAGCUCAAAUUUGAAAUCUUAAAGGGUUUCCCUUUACGAAUUGUAGUUUAAAGAAGUGUUUUCUGUUGAGGUUUUGGUAAAAGUUCUUUGGAAUAGGACAUCAUAGAGGGUGAGAAUCCCGUAUUUGACCUUUACUUUCAACUUUGUGAUACACUUUCAAAGAGUCGGAUUGUUUGGGAAUGCAGUCCAAAAUGGGUGGUAAAUUUCAUCUAAAGCUAAAUAUUGGCGAGAGACCGAUAGCGAACAAGUACCGUGAGGGAAAGAUGAAAAGAACUUUGAAAAGAGAGUUAAACAGUACGUGAAAUUGUCAAAAGGGAAGCGUUUGACACCAGUGUUGUUUUUCUGAAAAUCAAUUAAAGAACUGUUUAUGCUAAGUUGUUUAGACUUUAUCAGCUAUCUGUUUAGUUUUGAGCUUUUCUUUAAUGCACUUUUCAGUUAACAAGUCAACAUCAAUUUCUUUUGCUGUAAAAAAGCUUGAGGAAGGUGGCUUGAGAUUCGUCUUAAGUGUUUAUAGCCUCUUGCCUAUGCAGUCGGAGAGAUUGAGGUCUGCAGCGUAGAUCCUUCGGGGCUAAAUGCAUUUGUGCUAAGUUAUAGCAUUUUAUAGACAACUUGUUGACUAUGAUUUGUCUUGUAGCUUACUCGCUUAUGUUAUUUUACCUACGCUUAGGAUGUUGAACUCUAUCACACACAG